GCUUGCCCUGCAGAGUGGCUUGGCUUCAUUCCCAAAAAUGGCGAAAAUGGUGGCUUAAAUACAAUAGAAGAACCUGCAACUCGUUUGCGAAACCCUAGACCUCAGUUUCGACUCAUCCUUGACUCUUCGAAUGGCGGCGAUCUCUUCUCCGGCUCAACGCGUCCAGCUUCCAAGCUGCAGGACCUAAUACUGCAUUGCAGUCUGCUUCUAGGAUUUCAGGCAAAUCUAUGACUGUUCCUGAAACUGGAUGGAAUAGUCUUAAUGUCCACUUGAUAUAAAAUACACAGGAAUUGACACCAUUGUUUAUGUAUAUGUGGUUGGGGGCAGGCAAAUUCGGGCGCAGGAGAAGCCAACCAUUUUUGGAGCUGAUACAGGUGCCUUCACUUACAAGGUUUCCUGAUGUAUCUCCAAUGAUUGCAAACGUAUGGAAUUCUCAUGGCAUCAAAUGGUGUCAGGUAGUUCAUCACUCCCCAUAAGAAUGGGCCUGGUUUGUUCAUCCUCUUUGAUCAUGUUUCUUCUAGGGGAAGAAAAGAGUUGUCAAACAUGGUUCGGUUUUAUUUGCGGGAUACAAGGAGCUAACAACUAGCUGAACAAAAGUAAUAGAUUUAAAACAAAAAGUUCUAAAGUUAAAUCACAUCUAGUUGGAGCCAUUGUGGAAGAUGAAGCCCACUGAGCUUUGCCGUCUCUAUCUAUGAGUUCCGGUUUUGUGUUUGGUGACCGACUCGAGUCGUUUAUUGCUCUGUAUCACUUCAAUGUAUUUCCAUGUUACUGGAUGAUUUGCAUAUUACACCAUUUCCACAAGAAGAUCUUAGCAGGCUUUACAUUGCAGUGCUCAAGACCCGUCAGCAAAGCAGCAGCUUCAGCUAAAGUAGCAAUUGAUCGUGCCAAUACGAAUACGAUGUUUUUGGAGUUUGCUAUAAUAACAAAUCCGAGUCUAUUGUAGGAUAAUUUUCCGGCCUAUGACGCAUCACUAAAAAUGGAAAUAGAAUGACUAGAGUGAGGUAAGAAGAAGGUUUCCUGUUGUUUAAUUGCAUUACUCUUGAGAAUUUCUUGGUCUGUUAUAGUGUUUGUUGGAAGAUCUUUGUAUUUUGGGAAGUCAAGCUCCCUUUUGUUAAAUACAUAGAUGGAUCUUGGAAUGGUAACAAAUGUUAUAUGGUGAUGAUUAGA